GGCGAUGAUCGGUAGCCGGUCUGAGAGGGUGAACGGCCACACUGGACUGAGACACGGCCAGACUCCUACGGGAGGCAGCAGUGCGGGAAUCAUUGACACGAAUGGGGCGCAAGAGCCCUGAAUGCCCAGGCGCACGACCGGGCCGUGGGUAGUGCAUAGGAAAAGGCGUCGCCUCUUACGGGCACUGUGCGUUAUAGCACGUCUGACAUUGUUAUCAGGAUAACUGCGUCGUGCGGAGGGUAACAAGGUGAAUAGUACGGUCCGACUGUUUAUUUCUGAAGUAAUGCGACGAGGUGCUGAGGCGGAACAUAUGUAAUUGAACCGGGGUUAACCCCCGAUGUCUUAGGGAAAGAGUAAAGGGCAAUCCC
rnacentral:rRNA from 1 species